CAAUAGCGUAUAUUAAAGUUGUUGCAGUUAAAAAGCUCGUAGUUGGAUUUCUGGUCGGAAGCUCCUGUCCUCUGAUGAGCGUACAAGUGCGUCCUACCAUCCUUCUGUUAACCUUUAAGGCUUUCGCGGCUUUCUAGGGGCUCAGAUAUUUUACCUUGAGAAAAUUAGAGUGUUUCAGGCAGGCUAGCGCCGGAAUACAUUAGCAUGGAAUAAUGGAAUAGGACUUUUGCCUCUUCUGUUGGUCAUGAGGCUCGAGUAAUGAUUAAUAGGGAUAGUUGGGGGCAUUAGUACUUAACUGUCAGAGGUGAAAUUCUCGGAUUUGUUAAAGACUAACUUAUGCGAAANCANNNGCCAAGGAUGUUUUCAUNGA
rnacentral:rRNA from 1 species